UACGGAGGGUGCAAGCGUUGUCCGGAUUUAUUGGGUUUAAAGGGCUCGUAGGCGGCCAACUAAGUCGGAUGUGAAAUCCCCAGGCUUAACCUGGGAACUGCAUCCGAUACUGGAUGGCUUGAAUCCGGGAGAGGGAUGCAGAAUUCCAGGUGUAGCGGUGAAAUGCGUAGAUAUCUGGAGGAAUACCGGUGGCGAAGGUGGCAUCCUGGACCGGCAUUGACGCUGAUGAGCGAAAGCUAGGGGAGCAAACGGG
rnacentral:rRNA from 1 species